UCUGGUGACUUGGGCGGUGUGGAACUACUCUUUCCCAUUCCGAACAGGACCGUAAAACGCACCAGCGCGGACGAUAGUAUACGGGCAACUGUAUGCGAAAAUACGUCGUCGCCAGAA
rnacentral:rRNA from 3 species